GCUCCAUGGCCUACGACCUGCAAGAGGUCUUGUACUGUUUAUCGUGAUAAUCUGUGGGCUCCUGGUGCCUGUGCUGCCACGGAGCUGUACAGCCACGGAACGCAGCUGCCUGAAGUUAAUGAUUCAGGAGUCACCAUCUGUGCUGAGUUCUGUCUCUUUGGCACAUACCACACAGACACGUCCAGAGGUGAAGGCAGUACUUACACUCACAGAUUAACAUUCCUGCUCAUCGGAACAACUUUCCAAGGAGAAGGCCCAGUUUUCUGAAUAUUAAAACUUUAGGUAGAGGAAUUCACAGUGGUCUGG
rnacentral:lncRNA from 1 species